GUGGGGAAUCUUGCGCAAUGGGCGAAAGCCUGACGCAGCCAUGCCGCGUGAAUGAUGAAGGUCUUAGGAUUGUAAAAUUCUUUCACCGGGGACGAUAAUGACGGUACCCGGAGAAGAAGCCCCGGCUAACUUCGUGCCAGCAGCCGCGGUAAUACGAAGGGGGCUAGCGUUGCUCGGAAUUACUGGGCGUAAAGGGCGCGUAGGCGGACAGUUUAGUCAGAGGUGAAAGCCCAGGGCUCAACCUUGGAAUUGCCUUUGAUACUGGCUGUCUUGAGUACUGGAGAGGUGAGUGGAACUCCGAGUGUAGAGGUGAAAUUCGUAGAUAUUCGGAAGAACACCAGUGGCGAAGGCGACUCACUGGCCCGUUACUGACGCUGAGGCGCGAAAGCGUGGGGAGCAAACAGGAUUAGAUACCCUUGUAGUCC
rnacentral:rRNA from 1 species